UGCGUAGGCGGUUUGGUAAGUCUCUUGUGAAACUCCGGGCUCAACUCGGAGCCUGCAGGAGAAACUGCCGGGCUUGAGUGUGGGAGAGGUGAGUGGAAUUCCUGGUGUAGCGGUGAAAUGCGUAGAUAUCAGGAGGAACACCUGUGGCGAAAGCGGCUCACUGGACCACAACUGACGCUGAUGCACGAAAGCUAGGGGAGCAAACAGGAUUAGAUACCCUGGUAGUCCUAGCCCUAAACGAUGACUGCUUGGUGUGACGGGUACCCAAUCCCGCCGUGCCGUAGCUAACGCGUUAAGCAGUCCGCCUGGGGAGUACGGUCGCAAGGCUGAA
rnacentral:rRNA from 1 species